rnacentral:rRNA from 1 species
CCUAUGGGAGGCAGCAGUGGGGAAUAUUGGACAAUGGGGGGAACCCUGAUCCAGCCAUGCCGCGUGUGUGAAGAAGGCCCUCGGGUUGUAAAGCACUUUCAGUGAGGAAGAACGCCUGGUGGUUAAUACCCAUCAGGAAAGACAUCACUCACAGAAGAAGCACCGGCUAACUCCGUGCCAGCAGCCGCGGUAAUACGGAGGGUGCGAGCGUUAAUCGGAAUUACUGGGCGUAAAGCGCGCGUAGGUGGCUUGAUAAGCCGGUUGUGAAAGCCCCGGGCUCAACCUGGGAACGGCAUCCGGAACUGUCAAGCUAGAGUGCAGGAGAGGAAGGUAGAAUUCCCGGUGUAGCGGUGAAAUGCGUAGAGAUCGGGAGGAAUACCAGUGGCGAAGGCGGCCUUCUGGACUGACACUGACACUGAGGUGCGAAAGCGUGGGUAGCAAACAGGAUUAGAUACCCCGGUAGUC